rnacentral:lncRNA from 1 species
UCAUGAAUAAUGUUUUCAAAACGUCUAAGUUUCUUUUCAAAAUACAUACUAAGUCAUGCUAAAGCUUUCUAUUACGAGCAAGGAAAUCUUAUAUUUCAUGUAUAAUAUCAUGCAUUUUCAUGUUACAUCACUUAGAAUAACAUAUUCCAUCGUCGGGAGCGCUAUACUUGCGUAUAUGCUCGCUCGACGCCCUCCGAUCACCUCCGAAUACGUAACAGUCACAAAUAUGACUAUUUUGACCCUUCCUAAUGACCUCAAAUUGAAAAAUGUAAAGCACAAACGUUGUAGGUCUAUUCGUCCUCGUUCCAG